GGGCCCGUAGCUCAGCCUGGCGGAGCGCCCGGCUCAUAACCGGGUGGUCCUGGGUUCAAUCGGCCGAAGAGGCCGGAACAGAUCCCAGCGGGCCCA
rnacentral:tRNA from 1 species